rnacentral:rRNA from 1 species
GGGUCAGUAGGUUGGUCGUGCCACCGGUACGUACUGGUCUCACUGAUUCCUCCUUCCUGAAGAGCCGUGAUGCCAUUAAUUUGGUGUUGCGGGGAAACAGGACUGUUACUUUGAAAAAAUUAGAGUGUUUAAAGCAAGCUAACGCUUGAAUACAUUAGCAUGGAAUAAUGAAAUAGGACGAUCGAUCCUAUUUUGUUGGUUUCUAGGAUUGACGUA